CAUUAAGUCAGGCAGUUCUUUCAUUCAAGCGUUGUCUCUUUAUCCAUGGUCGAAUUUCCAGUACAGCGAUGUAGCGAAAUUUCCGGCCGUCUUUCACAACAAAUAACAUCACAAUAUAAAGUCAAUAUAACUGUACGUAUUUUCCUCUUUACCACAGAAUCGUUUUCCCUGUCCAUUAAAUUAUAAUUUACAAAACUAACCAGUUGUUAUAACGUAAAAUAAGCGGGUAUUUG